AGUCAAUACAAGCUCGAUCUGCUUGGUUUCACUUCCAUCUGGGGAAAAGGGUCACACAAAAACGGACAGGUCACUGGGGCGAGAGUCCACCAGUAUGGAACCCUCGCUGAAAUUGAAAGGAAGGGAACAUUCUGCCACGUUGGACCGACCUGUACUGGGGACGUGAAGGAGUCGAAGUGCAGUGGAAGCGGUGAUAUCAAAACACAGUGGAAG